UACGGAGGGUGCGAGCGUUAAUCGGAAUGACUGGGCGUAAAGCGCACGCAGGUGGUGCAGCCAGUCCGCUGUGAAAGCCCUGGGCUCAACCUGGGAAUGGCAGUGGAGACGACUGGACUCGAGUGUGAGAGAGGAGAGUGGAAUUCCCGGUGUAGCGGUGAAAUGCGUAGAGAUCGGGAGGAACACCGAUGGCGAAGGCAGCUCUCUGGAUCAACACUGACACUGAGGUGCGAAAGCGUGGGGAGCAAACAGG
rnacentral:rRNA from 1 species